CUGUGAGAGGGCCGGCCCAGGCAGCGGGAGAGCGGGCUGCCGCCUCAGGCCCUCCUACCUAACGAGCCUCCCUCAGGCCUGCCCUUGGGGCGUCUGCGGACAGCCGGCCAGGUUUAAGAACAAGAGGGCUGUGUAAUUACAUUUCAAUGGGGUGCAGCGGUUCAUUAUUCCCCACCGAGCUGAUCUGCUGCCGCGUCUCCAAGGCAGUCAAGGUGCCUCCUUUAGCAAACACUGGGGAGGGGGCUUCUGGAGUGUGCCCGUGACAAACAGCAUCAUCACUGUCAUCCGUCUACAG